rnacentral:misc_RNA from 1 species
GAUGAAGAACGCAGCGAAAUGCGAUAAGUAAUGUGAAUUGCAGAAUUCAGUGAAUCAUCGAAUCUUUGAACGCACCUUGCGCUCCUUGGUAUUCCGAGGAGCAUGCCUGUUUGAGUGUCAUGAAAUUCUCAACCUUUUCAGCUUUCUUUGUUGAUCAGGCUUGGAUGUGGGAGUAUGCGGGCUUCUCAGAAGUCGGCUCUCCUGAAAUGCAUUAGCGGGACCUUUGUUGCCUGGCUUUGGUGUGAUAAUUAUCUACGCCAUUGUAGUCAAGCAGCUUAAAAUGAGGUUUCAGCUUCUAGCCGUCUCCCCUGAGACAACUUUUUGACAAUUUGACCUCAAAUCAGGUAGGACUACCCGCUGAACUUAAGCAUAUCAAUAAGCGGAGGA